UAGAAAUUAAAUAAAGGACCUCAUAUAAUCUCGGGAAUAUGGCCCGUAAGUCUCUACCUGACGACCGUUAAUCGUCGGACUAUGAGGGAAGAUCGGUUGCAG
rnacentral:ncRNA from 2 species